GUUGGUUCUACCCGAAGACGAUGCGCCAACCGCAAGGGGGGUAGCCGGCCACGGUAAGGUCAGCGACUGGGGUGAAGUCGUAACAAGGUAGCUGUAGGUGAACCUGCAGAAGGAUCA
rnacentral:rRNA from 1 species